CUAGGUCAUUACCUUUUCCCAGCCUCCCUGUUCCUCUCGAUCUCUCUCACGCUGCCCACCGCCCCUCAACCUACCUGCAUCCCGGAGCGCCGCCCCUCACCACUCCCCUGCGAUCCUCCGUCUCGGAAGGCCGCCCCUCACCACUCCCCCUGCGAUUCUCCAUCCUGGCGCGCUGUCCCUAGUCAACUCUCCUCUGCGACCUUGCUUCCCGGUGCGCCGCCCCUCGUCACCGCUUCCCUACGACCUACUACGUCUACUACCUCCGCACGAGGGCCUGCGGCUACGGGCAGAGUUACCGCUACAACAACCCUCGCAAUCGCGCUGCCGUGGUGAGCCGGACCGCUUUUCUUCUCCAAUUUUAUUUUCCCCAUCUUGCUCUACUCGACUUCAGUCUAGUUGGGAAUUGCUACUUACGACUUGCUCGUCCCUGAUAAUGACCGAGAGGUUGAAUUAUAGAUGGUUGGUGCGGAGGGGAGCUUCUAGCUGAGGCCUCUUGCUGUGAUUGAAUUGAUUCUAGUUAUGGCUCAGGAGCUUGUCACCAGCCCAUGGAAGUGAAACUUGAUUGUGCAGUCGUUGGUUGUUGUCUUUGAUUAUGUGAUUGACUGAUUGUAUAAUAAGGCUUGUUGUCUUAGUCUCGUGGUUGAUGUUGAUGCUUCAAAGUUCCACUUUCUGCUUACGGUGCCACUUGCUUAUGUUGUAGGCCUGAUCACUCACGCCGUCAUAUGCUCAUAUUUCUUUCCGAGACUUCGGAGCAGGUUACAAUAUCAAAAUUCUCUACUAAGUAAUAAUUACCUACACUCGGUGCAGAGAAAUGCAAUCACACUCAAGCACUGAUAUGUUGCAAUGGACAUGACCCCAAAACUUUCGCCCUGUCUUUUAUUUGAGACACAGUUUGGUAACUUUUUGUUGCAUAUUUUCAUCCGCUUAAAAGACCAUUUCGAUCUCUAUGUUCUCUGCUACUACAAACUGAGGAGCAGCUUGACAACUUUAUGCAGCUCGGUCGACUAAGCCACUGUGACGCUGGGGGAGAAGGACAUCGGUGCAGAGCAUGGCAAGGCCGAGUACUUGUUGGAUCUUAGGGCUUCUGAUCCACAGUUCUCCGCAUCAUCAUCCAUCAGCAUCUGGUGACAUUAUUAGCACUCAGAGCUUCAUAAGGCUUUCUGCCCACUACAGUUGGAGUUCAAGAGCGUAAGGAAGGUAAUCUGGUGAUCAAUCACUGUUGCUUGUCAGAAAACUCUGAAAAUAUUAUUGAGUACAUCUACCAUGAGCUAUGCUUGCCAUUUUAAAAGAUGUUUAUGUGAGCUUCAUGUCAUAUCAAUUUUUUUUGAAGCAAGCAGAUCUUGGGAUUUACUUAUGAUUUAUGAACAGAAAAUGUUUACUGUGUAACCCCUAAAUACAGUAGAAGAGAUUAGAGAAGCAGGUCUUAUAAAACUACGCUGAGCGAGUAGUACUUAUUUAGUCAAGUGACAUGUUAGAUAAAAUUCUACACCUAUUACAACUUAUCUGACUUCUGUAUUUUGUAAAGAUAGCUGAACUAGAUUGUGUUCCAGGAAUAAAAAACCAUGGAUGUUUUCCAUUUAUUCACUUGGCUUUUGGAAUUUGAUUGAUGUCCCCUUUCUCAUAUUAUUAACAACAUAUACCUACACGGUUCUCUCUACUGGUUUGCCAAAUUCUAGACACUUCUUGUGUGGUCCAUGCUUCCUCUUUGUACUAUGCUUACCUACAUUCGUAAUAUCACUCCUUUAUUCCCUUGACGUGCUUUUCCUUUACAAAGAAGAAUGCACACCAUGGGGAAAAGAGAAGUAAAUUUGUAUUUGUAGUCUACAAACAGGGCGUCCUAAUUAUUUGUUCGAGCAUGCUACAGUCUUGUUUUCUCUGCCGUGUCUUCUCCUUUUCUUAGUAGUGUCACUACUGAUUGAUCUGCUCAGAUGUGCUAUUUAGAGUUUGAUAUAGAUAUAUACUAGCUAUUUUAUUAGGAGUUGGUGGUAAAGAUGAACUAAUGGUCGAUCCUCCCUGCUGUCCUCGCUGCACUUCAUGCAAAAUCAUUGGGCCGGUACUGGGAGUACCUCAUUUAUGAUGGAUCUUAUACUUCAAAGCUUAUUUAUAUUGUCUAAUAUGUUUUAUUUGUACUAAUUCAGUAAAUUUAAUUUAUCUUUUGGCUUAAUAUGUCCAAGGUAUUGAUAUAGUAAUAUUUUGUUACCUGAUUAAAGCUCAAACAUACUGCUUCAGUAUCUCCCAGUAGGUGCCUCAGAAUUAUGCAGUUGAUCGUACCAUACUGCUACUUGAAUAAAAAUGUUUAUCUUUGUGUUCUACACUGAAGCUAUCAUAUGAAGUUUAAUUAUUUUAAGCGUUCAUCACCAAAACUACUUUGUUGGUAGUGAAAGGCUUCAUAGAAUUUCAUAGAUGUUGCACAUCAUGAGAUUAACCCGUAGAAGAAUGUAUUCAUAACCAUAUGACGUGUGUGAUGUUGGGUUAUAGCCGUUGUAUGCUGAAAGGCUUUUUCCCUUGCUUCCUUCCAUUUUCUUCUAUGUGCAUUGACUAGACGUAUGUUUUUACAAUGUGGCAUGGUUUGAGCAUUUUAAAUUCUUUACACGCUUCCAUUAUUUCCCGCCCCAUUUAUAUUGGUAUGUCCUUUAAAUAGCAGGCAGGUACAUGUGUGAUGGCACAAUAUAACUCAGUGUUAGCUGGCUUAUAAUCUCUUAUCCCUUGAAAGACUUCAAAGAUGGCAUCUCAUGGGACAACACAAGAGACCAUAUAGUAAAGGAAAAGAUGCAAACACGAUAGGCAGGACCAAAAGUAUUUUUAAUGAGCCUGAAAAAUCAUAACAGAGACUGGUAUUGCUACAAUUGUAAGUUGUGAUCCUAAAUCUGAGCUUGAUGGUGCUGAAAUUACUAAUGAAUUGUAGGUAGUGCAUGUCGAUAUGGCACUUGUGAAAACUAAAUAUUUGGUAUGGAGUCGCAAAAACUGUAAUACUCUUGGUAAUGCAGAAUUUUUUUGCAUGGCAACCUUUGUAAGUGACUAAUAUCCUGCCUCUAUCACGAAUUGCAUCAUGCUUUGUGUGUUAACAGUUCAUUUUGUUUUUUUGUUUGUAGAUUCAAAAGAUAAAUGGAUGAUUAUAUGGGUGUGUGGGCAAGCAUACUACUAUGAUGACGAUGAUGUUUGUGUUCAUGAUGAUGGAGACGGAUGCUUUCAGUUUUAGUAAAGUUGUAGGGAUGAUGUUCCUGUUGGACGAUGUUCCUCAAUUAUGUUUUAGUUAAUCUGUAGGGAUGUUGAUGCAUGCUUUCAAUUUAAGUUUCACCAUCAAGAGAACAUUUAUAUUAUACUCCCUCCGUUCCUAAAUAUAAGUCUUUGUAGAGAUUUCACUAUGGAGUAGAUACGGAUGUAUCUAGAUGCAUUUUAGAGUAUAGAUUCACUCAUUUUGUUCCGUAUGUGGUCCAUAGUGGAAUCUCUUCAAAGACUUAUAUUUAGGAACGGAGGGAGUACAUCCCAUUUGGA
rnacentral:rRNA from 1 species